rnacentral:lncRNA from 1 species
GUAGAUCUACUGCCUUUCGAUGGGUUGGCUGAAACACUUCGGACUGCGACCAGUCUCUUAAAAAGAACAAAAAGAGGAAGACCUUGAGUGGACCCCAGGACAAAGCACUUUGGGCUCGGCAAGAAGGGACGUGCGGGAGCGCUGGCUGGGAACUGGAGUGAUCUCCCGUGCCAAAGAGCGCCCAUGAAGCGUGCGGACCUCUGAGGGUAUUCGGAUUGAAUUUUAUUUACCCUUUUGGCAUGCUUGAACGAUGACAUUGUUGGAGAGGGGUAAGGUUUUGUUUUGUUUCGUUUUUUUCUGGGAAAGAGAACUGAAUGGUGGGAGGUCAGGUAGACUUAAGUUGGCUUUCCUGCUCCCCUGCCUCCCCUCCUCGAGAUCCAGGUGUUGGAGAAGAGACUAGGAAGUAGAAGGCUUAGAAAAAAAGUAGACACCGGAGAUGUUGUCGGGGGCUAACGGGAGAGUGGAGUGAGGUGUAGGUGAGUGGGGACUGGCCAGCUGGAGGAGGGUUUUGGGGAAAAAAAGAGGUUUUUUUUAAACCCCCUUCAGCUUCACAAGAUGAGUUUUGCUGGGGAGGAGAAUAUGGGUGUCUGCCGAUAGAAGCUCUGAGAAAUUGAUGAAAAAUUGAUAUGUCCAUGUACACACUUAAGGAGGCGUCUGGAUUUGUGUGUAAACAGAGUGGAGAGGUGAAGGAGCGCAUGGAGGGAGGGGGCUUAAAAUAAUGUCUUAUUAUCCCUUUGGCUUUGGGGACUCUCAUCCUCUGUUCCUCCCCCCCCUUUUUUGACCUAGGGAUCCAGCUGCAUUAGACACGAGUGACCUUUUAAAUCUACGCCCACCCUUUACCUGGUAAAGCCCGUUGACAGUUUGGGGUGGGGUGGGGUGGGGUGAGGAGAGUGGUAGGGGUGUUUCGAAGACAUAUAUAUUCUCUCUCUCUCUCCCUCUCUCUGCCCCCCUCUCCCUUUCCCUCUCCCCCUCUCUCCUCCCUCCUCCCUCCUCUCCUCUCCUCCCCUCCCCUCCGUCUCCUCCUCCCUCGCUCUCCCCCCAUCACUCUUUCUCUUCCUCCCUCCCACCUCCCUCACUCCCUCCCUCCCUGCUGCAUUUUGCAUGAGCUAUCUAGGUCAUUAGCAUUUUAGCGUAUGCAAGACUUGACAAAGCUGAUGAGGGGCCAGAUGGGCCUCGCUCUUAUGGGUUUUUUUUUUUUCCCUUUUUUUCCCCCUCUUUUCCUUUUUCCCCUCCACCACUUGGGACCUGAGCAAGAGGACUGCAGCAGGCGAGUUUCGGAAGGCUGAUCCCGGCCCGGAGCGCGGCAGUUCGCCCCUGCGGCACGCCCGGCCAGGCUGCGCCCGCACUCAGCCAGCGAGGUAAAGGCGGCGGCGGCGCGCCCUGCUCUGGCAGCCGCUGCCAAGCCCCCGCUGCCCUCCGCUUUCUGUGCCCUCGACUUCCUCCUCCUGGCCCCCUCAGUUUACUGGGCUAAACUGAGAGUGAGAGAUGGGUGGGUAGGGUUUGCUGUGCUGGGGCGAGGUGGGGUUGGUGUUGUGUUUUGUUUUUUUGUUUUUGUUUUUGUUUUUGUUUUUUCAUUGUCUGGAGCUGCAGGGGAGGCGAGGCGUGAGGAAGGGGGUAAGGGAGUCGGGGUAAUUAACACGGGGGAGGCACCCCUCCGUCUCCCACUUCCACCCACACCCCCAACCCUCCACCCCCUCCGCUUUGCAGGAAAAAGCCUGGAUCCGAAAGGAUGGGGGAGAACAAAGAGCCUUUGGAAGACGUCGCUGUUAUCUCAUUGUCUGUGUGAUUGGGGGAGCUGCGGUAGGGAGGAUGCUGUGGUCCUGUUCUCCCUGCCUCCCCACCCCCAACCCUCUCCCCGCUGUCAGUGCGCACGCACGCGCCCUUCUUUUUACUUAUUUUUCCUUGUUUUUUUCAUCCCAUCUUCUCCCCACCCCCCUUCCUUUCUUCCACCUGUCCUUCCUUCCUCCUUUACUUCCUCAGGAGAAAGGCCUCUCUCU